rnacentral:rRNA from 1 species
CCCUUAGAUGUUCUGGGCCGCACGCGCGCUACACUGAUGCAUUCAACGAUUUUCUUCCUGGUCCGAGAGGAAUGGGUAACCUUUUGAAAGUGCAUCGUGAUAGGGAUAGACUAUUGCAAUUAUUGGUCUUCAACGAGGAAUUCCUAGUAGACGUAGUUCAUCAGACUGCAUCGAUUACGUCCCUGCCCUUUGUACACACCGCCCGUCGCUCCUACCGAUUGAAUGCUCAGGUGAGCCAUUCGGACUUUCAUCAUGCUGGUUUCCAGUUUUGAUGAAGGAAAGUCUUGCGAACCUUAUCAUUUAGAGGAAGGAGAAGUCGUAACA